CGGUGAUACAUAGGGUGCAAGCGUUAUUCGGAUUUAUUGGGCGUAAAGAGCUCGUAGGCGGUUCGAUUAGUCGGGUGUGAAAACCCCCCAGGCUUAACCUGGGGCGAGCCACCCCGAAACCUAGUCGUGACUAGAGUUUGGUUAGGGGAGUCACGGAAUUCCUGGUGUAGCGGCGGAAUGCGCAGAUAUCAGGAGGAACACCAGCAGCGAAGGCGGUGAUCUGGGCCAAUACUGACGCUGAGGAGCGAAAGCGUGGGGAGCGAACAGGAUUAGAUACCCUGGUAGUCCACGCCGUAAACGGUGGGCACUAGGUGUGGGGACGUUUUCAACGGUUUCCGCGCCGCAGCUAACGCAUUAAGUGCCCCCGCCUGGGGAGUACGGCCGCAAGGCUAAAACUCAAAGAAAUUGACGGGGGCCCGCACAAGCGGCGGAGCAUGC
rnacentral:rRNA from 1 species